CACAAUGUGUCGGAAGUAGUUCCCUGAGAAGUGGGUUUUGAAGCUAAUGGGGAAACGGUCCAGCGUGGUCAUGUUGUUGGUGAGGUAACUGACAGCAGCUGCUAUUGAGGAAACAACUAGUGAUACCAUUUUCUUGACAAGAUACUUCCUUCCUCCUCCAGAUCCUCCCAGCCUGCUCAGCAGACUUGCCACUGAUUCAGGCAUCGGAUAGGCAAGAUUUGUUCUCCAGGUCAAAGGUCCAACCUAUUGCAAGCUGCCCCACUUUCAUCUGGGUCACGGGGAAAUCAGACUUGGCCUCCUCAACAAAACCUUCAACAAAGGGAAGUUAAUUUCAAGGCAUAUUUGUGAAGCAGAAGUUAAAGUGCUAACACCUCAAGCAAUUGUCCAGAGCAACAUCAGCCUUCUUGGUGAAGGAAGAGCAACUUCGAAGAACUAGUUCUGGUAUUUCAGAGAAUUGCUUGGAUUUGGAUUUUUUUGGUGGUUUUCUGGGAGAACUGGGUAGGGAAAACAGAGGGAUGUGGGGCUUGGCAGCAAUAUUGUCAGCAGCCUGAAAGCAUAAGGGAACAGAGGAGAAAACACAAAGAUGGACAGACAAGCACAAUUCCACGAGGAAAGGAUACAUUCCCAGGAUCACAGCUUCCAGGCAUUUUAUUGGCAGGGCCUCUUUGGUCAUUUCUUUGGCCAGGUCCAUCAGCCUGCAAAGUGGAACAGGGGAAAGACAAGGACAGUCAGAGGGCUUGUGCUAUGCAAAUGUGGCUAGUUUAGCCCUUUUGCACAAUAUAUGUGAAGUAGGUUUCCAGCAGAGAAGGCCCACUGAGGACAGGGAACAGAAGAAAGUAUCUUCUUUAAGAAGGUACUAAAUCCAAACCAGGUCUCUACCACAUGCUGUUGCUGCUCACAAGGAACUUGACAAGUUACAGCAAAGCUGCCUACUUGGCCUACCUCUGUUUGAGUGAGACCACAGCACUUGGCUCAGUGAGUUCUGGAUGGACACCUGUGUGGCCACAAGCAAAAGCCUCAAAGGACCAAAGGCCAGCAGUGUUUGCCUCACAAGGUUCAAGGACAGUAAAGCCCUAUUCCCUGGCAUCAACUCUACUCUCCAUUCAACAAAUACUGUGGAGGAGCCAUUGCACUGGUUAAAACACGGGACAUCUAGGGUCAUGUAAGUCUGUGGACGAGACCAGUGGUAAGAAGCCAGUCUUGGGAGGCUUUCAGUAUGCGGGGCAGGAGAGUCAAUUAACAUCAGGUGCUUAUCUCCUUAACUUACAGAGCGCAGCUCUUCCCAAAAUUUGCUGUCAGGAGAAUCCCCCUUCUCCUUCAAAGUAUGAGACAUCAAAGCUUAGUAAGAGUAGAUUCUGCAAAGGCACUCACAGGAGCUAUGAAAUUAGACCUGUAAAGAUACUUGGCUUUUAUGAAGCUUGUUUAGGGCAGGACCUAAUUUCAGAAUCCAUCAGAAGUUUAUAUAGUUAUAUCUUCUAUAUGUAUAGUUCAUAUAGUUAGAAACAAGCAGAAUCUGCACACCUGGAAAUACAUUUACGUUAUUUGAUUUACUGACUCACGACAAUAAAAUCUACUCUUGUCCCUGAGAAAGGCCAGACACAGUUCUGCCCAGCCAUGCCCCAGGCAACAGACAAUACAGUCACCUAAAGCAGGAUGGAGCUGCAGUACUGAAAGCCCUAAGAGCCACCCUGACCUUGAUCAGGGAAUGGAAGGAAAAGCAGUGGGCCCCAAUAUUGUAAAGCAAGGAUUAAAUGCUGUAGGGACUGCCAGCACUCACCCAGUCAGAGGUCUGCUCUUCUUAAUCUCAAAGAAUUGUGUCCCAGUGUGAUUGUACCUGGAGGCAAGAAGUUAAAGGCUUGACAGCUUGGAAAACAGAGUUUGAAGAAAACCUGUCUGAAGAACUUUCAUGUUACUUACUAUUCUCACAGCAAAGUCAUGAUCCCACAAAUAUAAGAGCAACACAAGAAAGACCCCAUCUCCCUCUCAUGCAUUUCUCCCAUUUAUAGUCCUUCCUAACUUCCACUGUAUUUCCUUCUUGUCAAUUCUUCUCUUUCUCUUGCCCACACACAUUUCCACUCCAUUUCCCAAAGUUCAGUGCUGACAGCAAAUGCUCUGCUCAGCCUUCCAGUUACCAGGACAGAACAUAGUUAGAUAGAUCUCUGCCUGCUCUGGUCUACCUUAUUCUAAGACUGACAAGGACCCAAUCCAGCACACAAUCACCUUAGAUGGGUGAGAGGUGUCAAAAGGUCUGCCUCCUUACUAUUUUUUUUAGGGCUGAAGCCAGAGCUAGCUCUGUAUCUCAUCAGUGAGAUUAGACUGUGCGUGCAUCACACAUACCUGCUGUCCAGCACAAUAGGGAUGGAUAAAUCUUAUUCCCAGGACACAGUGACACCAGCAGCUUUGCAUAUGAAGGGGCAGAAUACCACAGAUGCACAAAAGCAGGGCAGCUGUCUAACUUUUAAACAGCUACAGUGAAGAGUGUUCAAGUGGGAUGACCUGAGAAGCAGUUAUUCUUAACACCACAGCUCACCUAUACCUUACCAGUGAGGUGACGCAGUUUGUAGUCUAAGACUUGGCUGUCAGGGUUGCAGGUGUGAGUGUUUCUAAUAAAAUGGCCACUGACCUAGAAGCAUGGGGAGUAGGAAAAGGCCCUUGACAACAUGCCUGUUUGUCACAUGGAGUGAACAGGAUUAGAAAAUAACUUGGGCAGACCCAAAGCAGUUAAACAAACCACCAUCCCAAGCCCAGCUUCCUGUUUUCAGGGAGCAAGUUUCAGUUCUCCUCCAACUACAUCAGAACAAGCUCUUCUGCUCCCUCUUUCUGGGUUAUCACACCAGUGACUAACAUAACAGUAAAGGAUACUGAAGCUCCCUGAUGUAGCGCUGUACAGCUUCCAGGCGCUCAGGGAUGGGGGUGGAUGGCUGGAACGUAGGCACACUUGGUAUGGGAAUCUGAAAUGGGGAGCAAAAUGUAAAUCACUGCUUCCUAACCUCUCCAGCUUCUUGCUGAACUCAGUGGCAGAUAACUACAGGGAGUGUGUUCUCUGAAACCAGCCUCUUUUUGCUGUCCGAAGUGAUUGCACCAGAACAUUCCACUGUUUCCACAUUGACAACUGGAAAGGGAUUCAGAAUGAAGCACCACCACAGAGCUGCAAGAGAAACUGUAUGAAAGAGUCCUGCAUUUAGGCAACAUUACAUUGGAAGAAUGAGAUAAAAUUAACUGACAAGGCAAGAUGCAAGACAGGGAAGUUAUCACCCGAAGGAGCUUGGCCUCAUUCAAAUAUGCAAACUGGAAGGCACAAAACAAAAGUAAGAUGAGAGAGGGAGGUAAAAAUGGAGAAUGAGUUUUCCCAAAGCCACUGGAUCAUAGAGCAGUCUUGUAAGCAAGGAUAUAAAGGUCCCUCACUGCCGGUGAGUUGGCACUGACUAGGACACAGGCUUGACAGCAUCAUGAAUCCCCCCUGCAGUGUCUGUUGUUUUGAAUUAUGUGGUCAGAGAAUGACUUCCAAAAGCUCACGAUUUGGACUGCUGUGCCAUUCUGAGGCCUCAGCCUUAUGGGUCCAGUCAGAUUUUCCUCACCAUUUGCUCCACAGGGACAACUGCAGCCUUGUCAGCAGCUGAGAAAAUGUGUCUAGGGGAAGAGAAGUGUCCUGUCCACAGGACAAAUACAAUGGAGAAGACACAGAUUUGGUGUUGAUUGACAGACUUGGAGAAACAGCCUAGCAUUUUGUCUCUGAAGGUUAGCUUAUGCCUUGGACAUACCUCCCUGAUACCAGACUGCAGGUUUUCACAGCAGUUUGGUUUUCAGCAUUUCAGUUCCUCUUCAGAUUUCCCCCUAAAGAUGGGCUAUCCCCAACUAGGAAAGAGCUAGUCAGAACCAGAUCUUCCCUUGGGCUUUCUGCUUCGCUGUAACUGCCUCUGCUGACCAUGGCUUUGUAGCCACUUCUCACCCUCCACCUGUAUUUCUGUGGCCACUCAUUUCCAUACCUCCUUCUGCUCUGGGUUGGCAUAGGUGACUGGUGAACCAGGUCCAGACCUCAACCAGCUGAAAGCUGAGCUAGCAAGCAUGGGUAGUUUUCAGUCAGAUCACUUCCCUCUCCUGGUUUGCCACAUGGUUGCGCUCUGCUUUUGCCUGCACAGUACAGAGGCCAGAGACUUCUUAACCUGGAGAGAUGGGCUGUUGCUGCCUCUGAAAACCAUAAUCUGCGUUUUUAAGCCUAGCUCCAAACACCACCAUCAAGUAAAUGCUGAACUAAACUCAAUCUCCACCCAUUUUCUCUCCAUGUUUUUUCAUCAGUCUCUCUUUUUUUUUUUAAAUUUUUUUUU